GACGAACGCUGGCGGCGUGCUUAACACAUGCAAGUCGAACGGAAAGGCCCUGCUUUUGUGGGGUGCUCGAGUGGCGAACGGGUGAGUAACACGUGAGUAACCUGCCCUUGACUUUGGGAUAACUUCAGGAAACUGGGGCUAAUACCGGAUAGGAGCUCCUGCUGCAUGGUGGGGGUUGGAAAGUUUCGGCGGUUGGGGAUGGACUCGCGGCUUAUCAGCUUGUUGGUGGGGUAGUGGCUUACCAAGGCUUUGACGGGUAGCCGGCCUGAGAGGGUGGCCGGCAACAUUGGGACUGAGAUACGGCCCAGACUCCUACGGGAGGCAGCAGUGGGGAAUAUUGCACAAUGGGCGGAAGCCUGAUGCAGCAACGCCGCGUGCGGGAUGACGGCCUUCGGGUUGUAAACCGCUUUCGCCUGUGACGAAGCGUGAGUGACGGUAAUGGGUAAAGAAGCACCGGCUAACUACGUG
rnacentral:rRNA from 1 species